AACUCAAACUGGAAAAAUAUUUUUUCUUUAAAGAUUCCGAUGUGAAGGAUAUGCUUUGUGAAGCAAAGACAGAAAAAGGGGGAGGAGUGCCAAUGAGCGUGGCUGAACGACGACACGUAAUAUGAGCUGGCUGGCUUCUCCGUGCAUCAGUGGACAGAGCAGCUACAUCUGGAUGGCUUCCUGAAAUUCCCCCCAAGCAGCCGAUUGGUCGGCCACAUCGAUGAUUGGAGAGCUGACCCCGUCCCCUCGUCAGGAUACAGCUGUAUCCCAUUAGAUUCCUUCUUCCAGCUAUA